UCUGAUGGUCAAUUGGGUGUUUAGGCUA
rnacentral:piRNA from 1 species